UUAUGUGGAUAACUUAGAUGCAAGUAAAUUCUUGUAUUUACAAUUCAAAUAUUCUUAUGCCAUUUUCCCCCUUUGCUUAACCUAAUAUAAUGGCCUGAUCAAUCUGAUUAGGAGGACUUUUUCAAAUUAAUUUACUCAAAUGCUCUAAGGUAGACUCUGAAGGACUAAAAUUGUGGUCUUUGGUAUCCAACAAAAAGGGUUCAAACUUAUCUCUUACUAGCUGUGUGACCUUGGCCAAAUGACAGUAUCUCUGAACUUCACUUUCCUAAUUUGUAAAAUGAAAAUAAUAAUAGAAUUCGAGUUGUAAAGUUGAAGAAAAAAAUAAGUUUGGUAGUGUGUUUACCAUAUGGCAGAAAAGAGCAGUUAUUCUGAUGGUCAUUAUUACAAGUGUGGUUGCUAAGAUUAUUGAAAAUGUAUUGUUUGUUCCCUGUUCAAAGAGCUAGAAUCUUAAGACAGCUUUCCAUUCUUUUCCUUGAUUUCACCCCUAAGAAUUCUGUCAUACAGUGGCAAAAACAUAUUGGCAUUUUGGGGGAAAGGAUCCACUGAGGUGACACUUUUGGUGUAUCAAGUAUAUAAGGUUUGCACUCAAGACUGCCAUUUACCUUAAUGGAAGCUGUUCAUAUGCCCCCAGGAAAGAAUGAACAAUUUAAUAGAAAAUGCUAAAGGAGUGAUAUUAGGAAAUAUCAAUAAAUGUUACUGAUGCUAUCGUCAUCAUCAUCAUCAUCAUUAUCAUCAUCAUCAAGGUCAUGACAGAAAGAGGACACAUUACAUGAAAUCUCAACUUCAUCCCUCGGCCAUGCACACCUUUCUCUUCAAAGACUUAUAUGUCAGAUUCUAACACUGUCAAAUGUAAGUCUUUAUGCUUUGUUCUGUAGCUAAUAUUUGCAUCUUUCCAUCUGAGUUCGGGUUUAGCAUCGUUUUGUCCACACAACAGAAGCUGAUCUCCAAAGAGAGGAAUGAUGUAGCCUCAAGUGACAAAGACACUGAGUGAAGUCUUUCACGUCCUGGGACACCUGCGGCCCAGCACAGAAGGCUGCUAGGUUGCCAACACAGAGUUUACCCCUCACGUGUCUGUAAUUGGGUAAAGAGAGGUGAAGUUUAGCAUGUGAUAUGUAAAACGGGCAGCCACAAAUACAAUUCUAAAGCAGAAUUGGCUUCAAUUCUUCCUUCUUUUUCCCCACUCUCAAAUGCUCAGGAAGCUUUCCUGCUCUUGUCUCUGACAGCAAAUAUUAUACCUUCCUGGAUAUGUAGGUGGAUAUCAAGAAAGUGCUUAUUUGCAAGCAACAGGAGCCAAAUAUAGCUGAUUUGAACAGAAAAUAAUCUUUGAAAGGUUAUUGAUUAAGUUUCAGUAACUAGAAGCAGACUAAAGAACAAGAACUUAGGGCACGCUAUCAAAAUUAUUGAAUCAUGCAAAAUUGAAGUGUACGUGCAGGCCUGCCUCGCUGACCCAACACAAGCAGGAUACGGGAUGCUGACCCAGGCACUGCUGCCUCCUC